rnacentral:rRNA from 1 species
AGAGUUUGAUCAUGGCUCAGAAUCAACGCUGGCGGCGCGCCUAACACAUGCAAGUCGAACGAGAAAGUGGAGCAAUCCAUGAGUACAGUGGCGUACGGGUGAGUAGCACGUGGGUAAUCUACCUCUUAGUGUGGAAUAACCCUGGGAAACCGGUGCUAAUACCGCAUAAGCCCGAGAGGGGAAAGCAGCAAUGCGCUGAGAGAGGAGCCCGCGGCCGAUUAGCUUGUUGGCAGGGUAAAAGCCUACCAAGGCAGAGAUCGGUAGCCGGCCUGAGAGGGCACACGGCCACACUGGCACUGAAACACGGGCCAGACUCCUACGGGAGGCAGCAGUGGGGAAUCUUGCACAAUGGGGGAAACCCUGAUGCAGCGACGCCGCGUGAGCGAUGAAGCCCUUCGGGGUGUAAAGCUCUUUCGGCAGGGAAGAUGAUGACGGUACCUGCAGAAGCAGCUGCGGCUAACUACGUGCCAGCAGCCGCGGUAAUACGUAGGCAGCAAGCGUUGUUCGGAGUUACUGGGCGUAAAGGGUGUGUAGGCGGUUUGGUAAGUCUGGUGUGAAAUCUCCCGGCUCAACUGGGAGGGUGCGCCGGAAACUGCCGGACUCGAGUGCGGGAGAGGAGAGUGGAAUUCCUGGUGUAGCGGUGAAAUGCGUAGAUAUCAGGAGGAACACCGGUGGUGUAGACGGCUCUCUGGACCGUAACUGACGCUGAAACACGAAAGCGUGGGUAGCAAACAGGAUUAGAUACCCCCGUAGUCC